CUCGUAGGCGGUUCGUCGCGUCCGGUGUGAAAGUCCAUCGCUUAACGGUGGAUCUGCGCCGGGUACGGGCGGGCUGGAGUGCGGUAGGGGAGACUGGAAUUCCCAGUGUAACGGUGGAAUGUGUAGAUAUCGGGAAGAACACCAAUGGCGAAGGCAGGUCUCUGGGCCGUUACUGACGCUGAGGAGCGAAAGCGUGGGGAGCGAACAG
rnacentral:rRNA from 1 species